GGAACAAGUGGGCUCCCGGGCUGAGGGGAGGGUGUCCCUGAGGGGCGAGGGGUCCUGGGUGUGGUCCAGCUCCAGCCCUGGCGGAGUGUCAGGAGAGGCCCUCGUGCCCUCGGGUGGGAGAGAAGCCGCCCCCUGGUGCCAAGGCCCCAGGAGUCAGAGCAGAGGGUGGGACCUCGAGCACAGGGCCACACCACCCUCCCCAGGGGUUUCCUGUGGGAGGAAGGUCACAGUCCAUCCCACGCUUCAGGAGCCACAGGAGGACAAGGGUGCCUUGAGGUCAGGGGCAGAAGCCCACAUUCCAGCAGGUGAUGGCAGCUUGAAGGGGUGGAAAGAAACCCCGUCCGGGAGCCGGAGAGCAGCGCAGCUUCAGGGGAGGGGAGGCCCAGCCAGCCCACCCAGGGCAGACCCUCUGGGGCCCUUUGCCACCUCCGAGUCCCUGGAAGGCCAGUUGGAGUGUGCUUUAAGGCUUCAGUAAGGAGCUGCUUGCUUUACAGGGUGGGCUACAGCAAGAAGCUUGUCGGCCAAGACACAGAAGACGGUGUGCACAGGACCCCCAGCUCACAGCUUCACCUCCUGCACCUGGUCCUGUGUGGCUGGGAGCAGCUGUCAGCCUGGGAGAGACUCAAGAGCUUAGCUGCGCGGAUGGAGAUCCAGCGUGAACAGCCGUUAGCAUCUCCACCCCAGGGAUGCCACCGAAAUUGGGUGAUCAAUUUUUCAGUGACUUUAAUGGAAUAAUAUUUUCUUCUCCUUUGAAAUCAAUGUCUUCAAAACCACAGCUUUAGUUAGGUUAAAUAGUUACAGAAAGGGAGGCACAGGGUUAGUAAACACAGCGACGCAGGCUUUCUCCGGAAUCAAAGGUGUCAAAGAGCUGGGAGCCAUGGAUGGUUCUGUGCUCUCAGGAGAGAGCAGGGCUCACUCUCCCUUCAUUAAUCCCAGCCAGGAAGCACCGUGAGGGACUGUGAGCUGGGGAGGUGAGUGAGUGUGCUGUGUGAAUGUGGUUGUUCUACUCCACGGAGAGACGACGAAGCUGCUCUGCCUACAGGCAUCCACUGAGCACCCAUCGAGGCCUGAGCUUCCGCAGCUGGCCCCAUGGGUGCUGGGCCACCACGGAGGGCCUCUGGACCAGGACCUAUGUUCUGUUCCCUCACUGGCCGGAGGGGAGCGGGCAUUGUGAGUGCCACCUUCUGCAGGUGCCAACAGCCCUGCCCUGGAGAGCCUGGGCCCAGCCGGGUGCGCUUUGCACAGGGGCACUCCAGUCCCCGCAGGCCGAGGGAAGGUGGCCCAGUCAGGCUUAUCAUCAUGGUCGCUGUGGUUUGAGGGAGUCGGAAACCUCCUGGGCUCUCUCGAGGCCCUCUCACAGCCGGGGGGCACCUAAGUCGGGGAGGUGCUGGCCUCUGGCCACCCAGCCGAUCUCCUCUGAGCAGCAAGGGGGAUGAGCCCCCCAUGGAUGCCAGAGAGGCCCAGAGGUGACAGAGGACAUGACAGGUGUCACCUGGGGGAAUCCAGCAGGCCCAGCAGCAGCAGGGUCAGGGAAGGACGCUGGAGGAGCCCCGGAGGGCCAGUGGGGAAGGCUCCGGAGUGGGGGGCAGGGGCCCACCCUGCACGGCUCAGGGUAGGAUACCUGCCCACAGCCCUGGCCCCACAGAGGGACAGAGAAGCCACCACUCUGAGACAGGCUGGGCGAGGCAGCGACCGCGCCCUCCCGAAGGCUGCAACUGGAUGUGCGUGCCGCCUGGACACCUGCACAUGGCUGACCCCGAGCAAACCUUCUACCUUGCUUUUUAUUUCCAAUUAAAAACAUAUUAUUCCCACCAGAGAAAUCGGAGGAAACAUCAGAAAAGCAAGGAGAGUAAAACCCUCUGCUCUCUCCUGUGCUGAGCAGUUGGGGGAUGUGGCAGCAUGGGUAGGGUCUUGCACACCCGUGACCUGAAUUCCAGGAGACUGGACCCCAGGGGCAGGUGUCAGGGACACCAAACCCUCAACUAAUGGUGCCCGCGCCACAGGUGGGCCGGGUCGCCACACGCUCCGUACAAGCUGUUGAUGUCAAUUACGCAGCAAAAGCGCGAAUCCCAAGGUGGACGCUCCCAGAAACCCACGCACAGACGGACAGGAGCACGGCCAGCCUCGCAGCUCCUCCAUCUCGCUCAGUGAAGGCGCGCUGGGCCACCAGGCGGGGGGCGGACCCCGGGUGAUUCUGCAGGCAGAGGGCACACUGCGGGUGACACCCAGGAGUCUCUGGGAGAGGCCAGGAGAGCUGAGGACUGGGGCCACCGUGACCUUUCUUCUCAGUCGACAGAGAAGGGGGUCAGGCUGAGAGAGGACAGUCCUGCCUGUCCAGCGUGGUCCCAGGCUGGUUGGGACGCCAGGGCAGCCGCUGUGCGCCAGGGAGAGGAGCCGCCGGGCCGCGCGCUGUUGGGGACCGUCAGGAAUUUUCUUGCCCGGAGGAGGAGCCGCCAGUCCUGGCAGCCGGCGAGGCAGAGACGGGAGGCGUUCCAAUGGGAAACGGCUGAGGAGCCCCUGGUGCCGGUCAGCCCAACAUGCCCGGGGCCAUCACUGGGCUGGACUCUGUCUCCCAAGAAGGCACAAGGAUCUGAGCCUCUGAGACACUGGCCUCAAGCCUGGCCCCUUCCGCCCUCUUCUGUCUUCCUCCGUCUCAGAUCAAGCUGCUCCCCCAAGGCAUUUCUGCUUCUCAGAUCUGCAAGAAGCCACCGGGUGGGCUGUUGCGGUGACCAGAGGGGUCCUGAGCACGCGUCCUACCACAACCUUCCUGGACAGCCAGGGGAGGCUCUGGGGGGAACUCAGCCAGCUUCGCCCACCCUGAGGGAGAGUUCCAGGCCUGCAGAUGGGGCCGGGAACAGGGUCGGGGUCCAGCCAACUGACCUCCCACAGAAGCAAGAUGGUGAAUGUGUGGGACUCUGGCCUGGGCCUUGGCAGCCUGAGCAUGGAGCCCUACUCUGCAGCCCUUCCCUGGCCUGGGUCCUUGGUGGGAAGCCGCGCAGCCGCUCCAACCCUCAGGUUCCCCUCUGUCAACAGGGACCAGGACGCUAGCGCUGCAGGAUGAGCGUGCGGUGCCGGCUGCACAGUGCAGCACCCACUGUCCCCGCUCUCUGGCGCCUCCCCGCGUGCCUCUGGCCUUUCUCUUUCUUUGUUGAAAGACCGCCACCUUCCAGAGCUCCGGGAUGGUGGAAAGCAAGGACUGGGAGGAGAGGGUGCUGAACCCCAGGGGCCAGGCCUGGGGCGUGCCCACAGAGGCAGGUAGCAGUGGGAAGGGCAGCGGCCUGGCACAUCUGCCCCAGGCCCCACCUGCCCAGCAGAGGCCCGAGCCAAGCCAUGUGUCUUACAGGUGGGUCUGGGUUUGGGGCACCCGUGGGCACCUCUGACUCUGUCCAGCUUGUGGCUGUGGACACUGGAGAGGUCAGCCUGGGCCAGUCCUUCACCACGUCCUCUCACAAGGGCUUCCAGCUCCCCAGAACCUAUCUCCUCUCCGCCCAGGGCUGGGAAGUGCCCCUUGCACUCUGACCGCAGGGCCUCCUCAGCCUGGCCCAGGGCGGCUGUCUUUCCUCAAACGCCCUUUGCAGCCAGAUGCCGAAGCGAGAUGACAUCCAGCAUGGGCUAAGACGUGAUCCUGACACAUUUAAAAUAACUUCUACUAAUUGGGCUCAUUGCUCAUCUUUUCCUACCACGUUCGUAAAUUGCGUUUAAUUGUUUUUGG
rnacentral:lncRNA from 1 species